AUAUUGUUGUUUGUUUUACUUUUGUUCUUUGUUAUUUUCUACAAAGGCAUAAUGCCUGUUAUAAGUAUUAAAAAUAUUCAGAAUAUGUAGAUCAAAACGCAGGUUGUUGACACGUCAAGCUUUGAAGACAACUUUCAGACAGAAUACAAGCAGCAUGGUAAACAAUUGGCGAAUUGGCUUCCUGACAUGUAUUAAUCAACAUCGUUAGCAGCUUUGAGACCAAAGACAUAAAGGUGCGUUUUCCCAAGUAACAGUUCGGACAAGCGGAUGUACAAUUAGAUACCCCAUCAAGGUUCAAGCUAGAUAGUGAUCAACGCACCAAAGAAAUUUAAAAUUCACUUUCGACUGGCAGAAAAUGUGUCAGUUCAAACAAAAUCAGACAAUUGAACAAACAAAUUAUCUAAACUAUGCCAAGAGAGAUAACUACAGAAGAUAAACAACAAACAACAAAGAUAUUUUUUAAUACUUUUAUUUUGUUCAUAUCCUUUACAACUGAUCGGGUUUUUCAAUGAUAAAAAAACUUUACGUUUUCAAAAUUCAUAACAAAAUAUGAAAACAUAUGAUCACAUGCCUCACAAAAGAGAAAAUAAAAAUUCUGUACAUGAACAGAAAUCUUAUAGUUUAUUUGGGGGGAUCAGUUAUAAAGGAUAUGUUAAAAAUUGCAACAUAAAAAUGAUACAAUAAUUAUACACAAUAGAAAUGUCAUCACAUCUCUGUUAUGUAUAGAACACAGUUCAAUCAUAAGAUUUCUUACACAUAAAACUGCAUAAAAAUUCAAAAUAACUGUCCAGUUAUUAAACUUGAAUAACUGACAAAAAAAACAACAAUAAAUGUAUGUACAAAUAUAAAAUGACAUAAGGAGUGAGAAAUUAAAAGGCAGUUAUUUUUUUCAACUUUUUUUCUAAAAUAACAACAUAAGAACUUUUUCUUUACAGUUUUACAAUUUUUCUUAUUGAAACUUAAGUGUUAAAAUUAAUUCAUAUUUGCUAUAAAAUAAUGCCCCAAUGAAGUGAUGAAAGACUUGCAACAGGCAUUGUAUAUAUUUAUUGAAUAUUGUACAGAAAUUGUGCUUAUAUAUACAUGUAAUGUUUGUUCGAAUAAUAAACAUGUGCCUGUGCCAAACUUUAAAUACAAGUAAACAAUAAAAA